GACUCUGCGGUGAACAUGGUAGUACCUGUCGAAAUGCCAGCCAAGUUCCUCGUGACUCGGUUGCCAAAGGAAAGAGGCGCAAAGGAACUGUCAUUGGCAUGGGUAUUGGCAUUGGUCUUGGAACGAUUUUUCUUCUUGCCCUCAUGUACUUGAUUGUUGUACGGGCAAGCAGUCGAAAAGUAGUUGAUCAGGAAAAGGAGCUGGAU
rnacentral:misc_RNA from 1 species